CUUAGAUACCCUGGUAGUCCACCCCGUAAACGUUGGGAACUAGUUGUGGGGUCCAUUCCACGGAUUCCGUGACGCAGCUAACGCAUUAAGUUCCCCGCCUGGGGAGUACGGCCGCAAGGCUAAAACUCAAAGGAAUUGACGGGGACCCGCACAAGCGGCGGAGCAUGCGGAUUAAUUCGAUGCAACGCGAAGAACCUUACCAAGGCUUGACAUAUACGAGAACGGGCCAGAAAUGGUCAACUCUUUGGACACUCGUAAACAGGUGGUGCAUGGUUGUCGUCAGCUCGUGUCGUGAGAUGUUGGGUUAAGUCCCGCAACGAGCGCAACCCUCGUUCUAUGUUGCCAGCACGUAAUGGUGGGAACUCAUGGGAUACUGCCGGGGUCAACUCGGAGGAAGGUGGGGAUGACGUCAAAUCAUCAUGCCCCUUAUGUCUUGGGCUUCACGCAUGCUACAAUGGCCGGUACAAAGGGCUGCAAUACCGCGAGGUGGAGCGAAUCCCAAAAAGCCGGUCCCAGUUCGGAUUGAGGUCUGCAACUCGACCUCAUGAAGUCGGAGUCGCUAGUAAUCGCAGAUCAGCAACGCUGCGGUGAAUACGUUCCCGGGUCUU
rnacentral:rRNA from 1 species